CCGUAAUAAAAUGGCUAUCUAUACGAGACGGUAAACUACAUGCUACACCUAUAUGCGUUGUUAUUCGUUUUACCAAAGACCAGCUGCUGGUCAAGAAGUUGACAUCACAGGCAUGGCUUCCAAAGAUCGAUCAGUGUAUGUUGAAUUAGAAGAUGGUAAACACAACUCUAAUAAAGACAAGGAAGAUGAUUUGCGUAAGAACUGGGGCAAGUGUUGCUGGAUAGUUAUACCGAUAAGUUUGUACAGCCAGUUUGCCUUGGGUUUCAUCUUGCUUUCAAUUUGUCCGACAGGGAGUUACGGUCCUUUUGUUCCGAUGGUAUAUAGCGUGAUGUGUCUGAUCAUUAUUCUUGCAAGUUGUCUAAAAAGGAAUACAAGUUACCCAGAACACAUUGUAACUGCUCAGCUGAUAAUUAGUAUUGUUGGACUGAUGAUAGUUGGUUUCCUGUUUAUUUUCGUACUGCCGGAUCCCAUACUCGAAUUUAGAAAUGCACAGCCCAUGUGUUACAUAAGAAACGCGUUUUUGUUCUACGUGUGGACAUCAAUUGGCUCUGUCUCCAGCGUUAUUGGUAUCUUCAUCCUCUGGAAAAGGUGUCUAAUGUAAUACUAUAUAUUUAUAGGGAUUAUUUUAGGUCUAUUUUAGGCAGUGUUUCCGUUCGGUCUCAGUUCUAUGUUUAUUAAACUCAUAGAUGUGGUAGUUUCCUGUAUUUCAUAUAUAAACAUAGUUAGAACAACUCAGGGUUCCCGAGUUAAAGGACAAUAUUGGUGUCAGUCAUUACCACAUAUGUUAUAGAACUGGUUAAACACGUUUCAAAUAUAAUUUUAACACAGAGAUCCGUCUAUAUAACUGACUGAAGUGACGAGUGACGAGUGAAUUUCUCUUCACUAAUAUUUCCUUCCAAGACCAAAAAUUGUUAUAUGAGAUUGUGGGGAGAUAUCUGACAAUUUAAAAGUAUAAAUAUUGACUGUCAUUAGAUAAUAAAAACAAGUGAAUGUACGGACUAUUUCUAUUUUUCUCGCUCGUGUUUUCUUAUCUAGUGACAUUCAAUUGCUUUCUGGAAUUGUUAGAUAUCCUCUCGCAGUCUCACAUAACAACUCUUGUAACACUACGGAUAACAGAAGAUCAGCAUAAUUGAUAAGACAUUUAUUAAGAACAUGAAACAGACAUAAAUCGGGAGGAGCUCUAUUCCAAGUCUGGGAAAAUGGGCAAGAGUGAAUCAUCAUAUAUGGUAUUGUUUAUUUAUCAGAUUAAGGUAUCAGUAAGUGCACUGCGUAUUUCUUUUGAAGUCAUGAAGUUCUGCCUAGUGUUAUACACGGAUCAUGUGUAGCUUGUUAAGAACAUAUUGAAUUAAUUAGAUGUUUAAUAAGAUCAUAGUCAGCCCGUGCCUUAACAGAAGUUUAUACAGAGUUGAAACAUCAAUGUCAUAUAUUUUCAAAAUCAGCAUAUUAUCAUAAAGUUUUAUGCACCUAAAUGAUCGUUCAAUU